rnacentral:rRNA from 1 species
AAAACUUUCAACAACGGAUCUCUUGGUUCUGGCAUCGAUGAAGAACGCAGCGAAAUGCGAUAAGUAAUGUGAAUUGCAGAAUUCAGUGAAUCAUCGAAUCUUUGAACGCACAUUGCGCCCCCUGGUAUUCCGGGGGGCAUGCCUGUYCGAGCGUC